rnacentral:siRNA from 1 species
AUGGUGUUGGUGAAUGCGCCUU